UUGAUUCCAAACAAAGCUUUAAGUAAUCAUGAAGCGUCCAAAUUUAUUUUAUUUACACUCUGUUGUUUGGUAAAUAUUUUUUAUAUUAUCCCAAAAUUGAGGAAAAUCUUUUACUACAAAGCAAAAAUUUUUUUCCUAAAAGCCAGCUAAAGCAAGUUACGGAUCAAUCCUUCGUAAAUCAUUUUACGAGCUCCCAUCAUCCCGAUCCCGAUCCCGAUCCCGAUCCCGACCUCUGCCCUGCCCUACUCUCUCUCUCUCUCGUACACCACACACUCUCUCCUCAAACCAUAGACAACUCGCCUACACCAUAGCCACUCCUCCGUCGCUUUGAAACUCUAGAAGAGAGCAACAGCUCCAGAAGAUGGUGCCUUUUAUCAUGAAUAAGCACAGCACAUUGUGUAGUCAUUUGGCAGUGUUGGAUGCUUUUGUGUUUCAAUUGGUGCUGCCGAUCUGAACGUGCUUCAGUAAUUUUAUUUUUUAUUUUAUCAGCAGCAGCAGAAAAAAUAAAGAUUUGAAAUAUUCCAACUUUGGCUUAAUGAUUUUUUUGUCAAAAAACCUUUAAGCCUGUUGGAAUAUUUCAAAUCUUUGGGCUUUUCAGAAGUAGAAAAUGCACAGUUAUUGUCAUCUGUACCUUAUAUCCUUGGAAGAAGCCUUGAAAACCAAAUCAUACCUGCUGUUCAAGUCAUUAGACGUAUUGUUGGCACCAAUGAGGAUGUCUUGAAAGCAAUCAAAGCGUGCUAUGGAAUACUUGAAUUUAAGUUGGAGAAGGUUUAUACCCAAGUCAUUAGUCCUAAAAUGGUUUAUGAAUAAACCAAAGUCCCUACUUUUAAAAAGUGAUCGGUUUAGUGAGGUGGUCAGCGAUGUUGAAAAAAUGGGUUUUGAUCCCACAAAUUUGCUAUUCAUGUCAGCGUUGCAUUCAAUGGCAAUGAUGAGCAAAUCACCCGGGGAGCAAAAAUUGGGAGUUUAUUCUAGUUUUGGUUUGUCAGAAGUCGACAUUAUUGCAGCAGUCAAGUUAAAACCAUUGUGUAUGACUGCUUCAAAGGAGAAGAUCAGGAAAUCAAAUACUUUUGCUAUUUAGCUUGGAGAAGAGGAUGGUGUGCUGCUCUACAGCUUUUGAUGUCGAAAAAUCUUAUUGAGGGAGACCUGAGCUUAAUAUAUGCACUCAAAAUGACUGAAAAGAUGUUUGUGGGGAAGUUUAUGAGCAAGUAUCAAAAUGUGAUUCCUGAAAUCGUCUAGGCAAGUCAAGGCAAGAUACAAUUUCAAGGGUUUCCCUUUAAUUUAAGAACAUGAAUGGUUGUAAUAUUUGUGGAAUUUAAGAACAGCUUCACUAUCAUGUAUUACUAGUCCAUAGAAAAUCACCAUGUGGAGCUUAUAUGGUAGUUGUAUGGGGUAGUGGCACUGGCAGUACUAAAUACAGCUCAGGAGAAGUUCCCCUAGCAUCCAUUAGUUCUGGAAGAACGGCAUCAAUUGAAGGAUUGCAUAGUCCAAUUAGUGAUUCUUCUCUUUUUUUCCCCCUUCAAAAAACCAUGGUAGACAUUUUGCUUUUUAUGCUUAAGAUUGAUUUACUUCAAUUUGUACAAUUUAAGCAUCAUUUUGUUGUUGAACUACUGGUCCUUUGUUUUGCAGUCACUCAUACGAGUUGUACUUUUGUUCCUGUUCUGUGCUUUCACCGCAUAGUAGUACAGAGAACGUUAAGGUAGUAAUGGUUGGCAUGCUUUACAUGUUGGUUGAACUCCACUUGCAAAAGCUUCCAGGUUGAUUAUUUGACUUCUUCAGAGAGCUUGUGCUUUGAUGGGUGUUACGGUAAGACUUGUCGGUUGCCUUGUUAAGUAAUGCAAGGCUCGCCAUGUUAAUUUCAUUUUAUCAUAUGCAUGGUGCCUGUUUCAAGGGCUUUAUCUCAGCCCCAAGCAUCGGCAUUACCUGCGUCUAUCCACUAGAAAGGUAUGAUAGUGUGUAAUCAAAUUGGCAAUUAUCACUGCUGUUAUGAAUAACAUUUUUCUGAGUUUCACACUGCUGUUUAGCAGGGAUUUA